CAACCCACGUUUCUCACCUGAGAGAAAGUAACUCCCCAGUUCUCCCAGACUUCUUCUUCCAGACUUCUUCUUCUUUUUUCGACUAUGUACCCUCUUCUUUCUUCGACUAUGUAUCUACAUCUCUUCUUUCUUCCACUAUGUAUGUACAUAUCAAAAUUAAACAAACCCGAUUGUUAGAUUUCUCUAUUCAGUGAAGGAAGUCCUGCAAGUAAGUUAGGGUUUGUGUAAAAUCAAUUCUCCUUUUGUGAUUUUUUAAUUGUAGGGUUGCAAGAUAAUUUUAGUCGGUUUUGUAUCAUUCACCUAAUUUUACUUCAUUCUUUUUUCUGUAUCGUUCGGUUUAAACAAUUUUUUAAUGUUGAACAGAUGAAAUCAAGAAAUCGACCAAUUUCUUCUUUUGGUACUUCAUUGAUUCAGUUUACAUGUCGGGUGAUACUUCUGUGAAAGAAAUUUUUGUAGCCGUUCCUUUGAUUUCCUGGUAUAAUUAUCCAUCAUAUUGAGUUUAUAAUACACCCAAACUUUGAAUUUCGUUUUAAAAUAGUAAUCAAGGUUCAGACUUAAAAUAACUAUUAGGGCUUCAUGAUUAUUUGGCACCAUGUACUACAGAUUGGCUUCGGUAUUUUAAGAUAACAGUUAACUUCAAUUUAGAGAGACGGGUAAAGAUUGGUUCUAGGCUGUUCCUUGUAUAGUGAGAAUUAUUAACUUGUAUCUGUACUUCUAGUUUAGUCUUUCAUGGUAACUGAAGUUAAUUUGAAAAUAAGGAAUCAAUUGACUUUUUCCUUCUCAACAGAUGUUCACUGAUUUUUGGUUAGAUUGUACUUUCCCAAAACUGGUAAGAUAUAUGGUUGCUUCUUUGUUUGAUUUCCAGGUACGUAUAUCAUACAAUUAGAAUAGUUUCAAACUGAAAAUUUUGAAUUUGGUUUUUAAAAUUGUAAUUGGUAAUCUUUCUUUGGAAUUUGAUAAAUUCAAUGGUGGUGUUGCUCUUUAUAAAUUUGAGUUGAUAGAUUUUUAGCUUGGGUUGUAUUUCCACAAAACUGGUAAGAAUUUUUUAUACUCAUUCCUUCAAUUUCCUGGCACGAUUAUCAUAAAUGUUUAGUUUAUAUCAAACCCAGACUCUGAAUUUGGUUAUAAGAUUACAAUUGCUGAUGUUAUUUAUCAUCAUAUAAAUUCAAUGGUGAUGCUAAAUUUCUUAUAUUAUUAUUAUUAUUAUACAUUAUCUUUGUAAUAGAGUAUCAUUAAGGUUUAUCAAACAGAUUAGAGUUUGUUUUAAUUUGUGAAUUACGUGAAGUAUCUUUUUCUUUUAAAACUGGUUUGAACCUAUGAAUUAAAAUCUGUUGUCUUCAGUGGUAGGUGUAUUUGAAAAUGCUAGCCCAUACAAAGGCUAAACCUGGUGGUGGUGGUGCAGAGGACUCAUCUUCAGUUCUCUAGGUUGCUACGGACGACGAAUCUGCAAAGUCAUCAUAUGUUGCUCAUAUCAACAGUUAUCUGAGUGGAUCUAUUUCUAAAGAAAUUCCUUUACAUUCUUUGACUAAUGAUCUCUUCGAAGUUGGGAAUGAGGAAGUUCUUAUAUGGUAACUACACUAUUCCAUCUUGUUUCUGGAUGCUACCUUUUUAAUGUAAUAUGCAAUUUUUUGCGCUGGCACACCCUUUUUGGUUGAGUCGACAGUUUUUUCACAUUGUUCUAUCUAGUGCCUUUUCCUGCCGUGUAACUGAACUUGCAUUCUGAUUAUUCCAUGAAACUGAAAGCUCAUUAGAGUAGCCAUUACCAUCAUUGAAACAGGUGGUAGCUAUAAAAAGAGUGGUGCUGACAUUCUGAGUUCUCGAUUUUUUUUUAUUUACAACACAGGUAAGUCUUCCUUAAGAGUUGCAUGAUUGAAUUUGAUGAAACUGUAUAUAUGUUUUACAGGAAAACUUUUGUUUUAAUCUGUUACAAGGUGGUGGAUUAGUCGUUUUCGAUUUAACUUGGCAUGUUGAUCACUGGGUUCACUAAAUGAUAUGCUUGAAGGCUGUGGUGGAGAUACAAUUGUUGACUCACAUUGGAACUGAGGGAAUGUCACAUCAUCCUCUGUUUAUAAUUUUUAAUUUUGAUUCUAAUUUUUAGUGUUCAGUUAAAUUGUAGAAUUGAAUUUAUAUUUUGUUUAGCUCUUCUUUGCGAUGUUUGAAUGUAAUUAAUUACGAACCUUGUAAUAUUUGUUCGAAUGAAUGGAAAAUGUUGCUGGAAUAGCUUGUGUAAA